AGCUAUUAAGGAUUGACUGUUUACGCCGAAUCAUGAAGCAGCAGAAUUCGAUCAAGGAGCGACGUCUUGAUUGACACGUCGAAUACAGACGACCACAAAGUGAUAGCUUCAGGUUUCCAUCUAAUUAAGAGCCGAAGAACCAGUGGAAGAAGCAAAUGAAGAAAUUCUAACGCCCGGUCCGAGAAGAAUCAAGCCCACAUCCAGACUACCAGAAUGAAGUAGUAUAAAAGGGAUCUACGGUGCCUGCCAUAGCAUCAAUAACAACCAAAGACUAUAACAACGACGAGUGUUCUCACGUGAAGGAAAAUCAGCAGCAUUCAACUCGAGUGGAGAUGGCGAAGAAG